ACGCUGGCGGCGUGCCUAAUACAUGCAAGUAGAACGCUGAAGGAGGAGCUUGCUUCUCUGGAUGAGUUGCGAACGGGUGAGUAACGCGUAGGUAACCUGCCUGGUAGCGGGGGAUAACUAUUGGAAACGAUAGCUAAUACCGCAUAAGAGUAGAUGUUGCAUGACAUUUGCUUAAAAGGUGCAAUUGCAUCACUACCAGAUGGACCUGCGUUGUAUUAGCUAGUUGGUGGGGUAACGGCUCACCAAGGCGACGAUACAUAGCCGACCUGAGAGGGUGAUCGGCCACACUGGGACUGAGACACGGCCCAGACUCCUACGGGAGGCAGCAGUAGGGAAUCUUCGGCAAUGGACGGAAGUCUGACCGAGCAACGCCGCGUGAGUGAAGAAGGUUUUCGGAUCGUAAAGCUCUGUUGUAAGAGAAGAACGAGUGUGAGAGUGGAAAGUUCACACUGUGACGGUAUCUUACCAGAAAGGGACGGCUAACUACGUGCCAGCAGCCGCGGUAAUACGUAGGUCCCGAGCGUUGUCCGGAUUUAUUGGGCGUAAAGCGAGCGCAGGCGGUUAGAUAAGUCUGAAGUUAAAGGCUGUGGCUUAACCAUAGUACGCUUUGGAAACUGUUUAACUUGAGUGCAAGAGGGGAGAGUGGAAUUCCAUGUGUAGCGGUGAAAUGCGUAGAUAUAUGGAGGAACACCGGUGGCGAAAGCGGCUCUCUGGCUUGUAACUGACGCUGAGGCUCGAAAGCGUGGGGAGCGAACAGGAUUAGAUACCCUGGUAGUCCACGCCGUAAACGAUGAGUGCUAGGUGUUAGACCCUUUCCGGGGUUUAGUGCCGCAGCUAACGCAUUAAGCACUCCGCCUGGGGAGUACGACCGCAAGGUUGAAACUCAAAGGAAUUGACGGGGGCCCGCAC
rnacentral:rRNA from 1 species